CAUGUCUCUUUAGGGCACUUGGAGGAAACCACGCAAUUCAUAUGGAUUACUCUGGCGAUGUUUUUUUUUUUUUUUUCAACUUUUUGAAACGUGAACAUCUUUGGUGAAUCUUUUUUUCAUUGGAGGGACAUAAAUCUCUCAGAUUUUGUUAAAAUAUCUCAGCGAAGAUGAGCGAAAGUCUUAGAUGGUUUGGAGCAUCUUAAGGGUGAGUGAUGACAGAAUUCAAAUUGUUUUGGGGGAACUAUGAAAUUAAUUAGAAAAUAUAGUGGUAUGUUCUUAUUUUACCAGCUUCUGCAAGCGUGUAUGCCGUCUGCCUUUUGGAACCUCACUGUGACUUCAGACAAGAACAAAGAUAAAAUUGUAAGAAGGGUUGCUUAUAAGAGAGCAUACAGUACAUCUGAAACUGCUGAGGCGGAUCAGCUGCUAUAGAAGACAAACGGAAAUACUGCAAGGCUCUUGUGCAAAAUAUUGUAUGCCAGGAGUCAGGAUGACUAGGCUGUGCCCAGGACUCCGGAACCUGCAACGAUGCUUAGCUCCAUCGGCCCUCCGUCUGUGCCUUCGGAUCCACCAGCUCUGUCUCCAUCGGUCAGCCCCCAGAUGUCAGCAGUCACACCAUCUACAUCUUGGCUCCUCCCUCCCUCGAUUCUGCCAUGUUUUGUCAGCAAUGGGAUGCUCUGGGUCUGUGCCACAAAAGGCCUAUUUCUCUCUAAUACUGUUCACAAAUCUGUCUAAAUCUGUGUUAG